CGAAAGGGAAUGAGGUUAAUAUUCCUCAAGUAGGGUGUGGGAUGAAAUGUGGCAACACAAAUGAGCUUGGAGACAUCGGUAUGUACCCCUGGAAGAGUUCUCUUUUCUUCUUAACAGUUUAUCUCCCUGAAUGAAUUAUUCAGAGAUAGGGAUGUAUAACUGGCAGAGCAGCUCACUUUCGGGCUGUCAGGUGUGUUCAUAACGAUCCUUGAAAAUCCAAGGGAGAUGUUCAUAUCCCCCUAGGCGUACCCAUAACCGCAUCAGGUCUCCAAGGUUAGCAGCCUCUGGUCAAUAAAAUAAUGUAAAUAAGGGAAUUCGGCAAAUUAGAUCCGUAACUUCGGGAAAAGGAUUGGCUCUGAGGGUUGGGCGGCUGAGGCCUCUUCAUGAAAGCAGAAGUAAAAUUGAAGCUGACUUCACCGUUGGCUUCUUUUUGUUGAAGUUAGAUUGUUGGGGUGUUUUCAUCGACUUUCUCGUCGCAUAAAACAACUGACUCAGAACUGAAGCGGACAAGGGGC
rnacentral:rRNA from 1 species